rnacentral:rRNA from 1 species
GGCAUGCUUACACAUGCAAGUCGAACGGCAGCACGGGGGCAACCUGGUGGCGAGUGGCGAACGGGUGAGUAAUAUAUCGGAACGUGCCCUAGAGUGGGGGAUAACGUAGCGAAAGUUACGCUAAUACCGCAUACGAUCUACGGAUGAAAGUGGGGGAUCGCAAGACCUCAUGCUCAUGGAGCGGCCGAUAUCUGAUUAGCUAGUUGGUAGGGUAAAAGCCUACCAAGGCGACGAUCAGUAGCUGGUCUGAGAGGACGACCAGCCACACUGGGACUGAGACACGGCCCAGACUCCUACGGGAGGCAGCAGUGGGGAAUUUUGGACAAUGGGCGCAAGCCUGAUCCAGCAAUGCCGCGUGAGUGAAGAAGGCCUUCGGGUUGUAAAGCUCUUUUGUCAGGGAAGAAACGGUUUGGCCUAAUACGCUGGACUAAUGACGGUACCUGAAGAAUAAGCACCGGCUAACUACGUGUAGAGGCGCGGUAAUACGUAGGGUGCAAGCGUUAAUCGGAAUUACUGGGCGUAAAGCGU